rnacentral:rRNA from 1 species
AUGAACGCUGGCGGCGUGCUUAAUACAUGCAAGUCGAACGAAGCACCUCUCCCGAAGAUUGAAGCUGCUUGCAGCUGAUUGAUUCAUUUGAGGUGACUGAGUGGCGGACGGGUGAGUAACGCGUGGGUAACCUGCCUCAUACAGGGGGAUAACAGUUGGAAACGACUGCUAAUACCGCAUAAGCGCACAGUACCGCAUGGUACAGUGUAGAAAAACUCCGGUGGUAUGAGAUGGACCCGCGUCUGAUUAGCUAGUGGAGGGUAACGGCCCACCAAGGCGACGAUCAGUAGCCGACUUGAGAGAGUGAUCGGCCACAGUUGGGACUGAGACACCGGACCCAAACUCCGUACGGGAGGCAGCAGGUAGGGAAUAUUGCACAAUGGGGGAAACCCUGAUGCAGCGACGCCGCGUGAAGGAUGAAGUAUUUCGGUAUGUAAACUUCUAUCAGCAAGGAAGAAAAUGACGGUACUUGACUAAGAAGCCCCGGCUAAAUACGUGCCAGCCGCAGC